rnacentral:rRNA from 1 species
UGCUUAACACAUGCAAGUCGAACGGUGACCUCGAGAGCUUGCUCUCGGGUGAUCAGUGGCGAACGGGUGAGUAACACGUGAGUACCCUGCCCCAGACUCUGGAAUAACCCCGGGAAACCGGAGCUAAUACCGGAUACGAGACGGAGAGGCAUCUCUACCGUCUGGAAAGUUUUUCGGUCUGGGAUGGACUCGCGGCCUAUCAGCUAGUUGGUGAGGUAACGGCUCACCAAGGCGACGACGGGUAGCCGGCCUGAGAGGGCGACCGGCCACACUGGGACUGAGACACGGCCCAGACUCCUACGGGAGGCAGCAGUGGGGAAUAUUGCACAAUGGGCGAAAGCCUGAUGCAGCGACGCCGCGUGAGGGAUGACGGCCUUCGGGUUGUAAACCUCUUUCAGCA